CCACUCUGGUUUCUCUUCAUUACCACAGCCUUUCCCUUUUACUAAAGACUUCCGUGGAGAGGAACACUUACGGUUCACUAUUUUUGGAAGGGCUUUGCUUCUGGCAGAGCC